CACGCCGUAAACGAUGAGUGCUAGGUGUUGGGGGUCAAACCUCGGUGCCGCAGUUAACGCAUUAAGCACUCCGCCUGGGGAGUACGUUCGCAAGAAUAAAACUCAAAGGAAUUGACGGGGACCCGCACAAGCAGCGGAGCAUGUGGUUUAAUUCGAAGCAACGCGAAGAACCUUACCUGGACUUGACAUCCCUCUGACCGUUUCUUAAUCGAGAUUUUCCCUUCGGGGACAGAGGAGACAGGUGG
rnacentral:rRNA from 1 species